rnacentral:lncRNA from 1 species
GCGACAAAUCUGGCGCUGUCCCCUUCAGCACCACGCGGAGUCCGCGCCGCCCCUCCCCGCGCUCAGCUGGGCCCAGCCUCUCCUCUGUCUCUCCUCGGUCCCAGCUCUGGCGAGCAGCGGUGAGUACUGAGGUGGCAUUGAGUUGGGGCUGCGCCGGGUAUGCGCUGGGACCCCGUUGAGCUUCCAGAACCUGCCUGGCAGGGUUGCUACUCCUGACCUCUGCCCCUCCCCUGCAUUGCCACCAGAGGCCCCUUUACCUGGUUCUGGUCUCUCCCGGAUGGGAUCUGUCUUACCUCUGGGGAGAGAGGGAGAGGAGAGGAAUAUGAUGCAGAUUCCCCUCAAGAGACCCUAGUAGGUGGGGGGGAGGGGAGGGUGUGUGUCCCUGCUUGAGUGUGUACAUCUGUAUGUGUACAUCUGUAUGUGUAUGUGACUGUGAGCAGUAGGUCUCUGUGAGUGUCUGAUACACCUGGACCUCUGUGUGCACUGGAGAAUGACAGCCUGUGUAUAUAUUUGGGUACCUCUUUGUGUCUUCCUGUUUGAUGAUGGUGUGUGUGUAAAACAAGCAUGUGCCUUUUCAUUACACACAUAUUUGUUAUGACUAUGAGAGUGCAUGAGGGUGUGUCUUUGAGCAGUGUGUGUGUGUCUGUGUCUGUGUGUGCCAGAGGGUGUUGCCUAUGAAUGUGUUUAACUGUGUACUGACAUAUUUGUCCUUAUGAAUGUGUGUAUGUGCAUGUGUGUCUGUGUAUGUGUGUGCCUGUCUGUACCUGUAUGAAGAAAAGAAUGUCCCUGGCCGGGUGCGGUGGCUCACACCUGUAAUCCAGCACUUUGGGAGGCGGAGGCAGGUGGAUCUCCUGAGGUCAGGAGUUCAAAACCAGCCUGGACAACAUGGUGAAACUCUGUCUCUACUAAAAUACAAAAAUUAGCCAGGCGUAGUGGUGGGCGCCUGUAAUCCCAGCUAUUCGGGAGUCUGAGGCAAGAGAAUCACUUGAACCUGGGAGUCAGAGGUUGCAGUGAGCCGAGAUAGCACCAUUCCACUCCAGCCUGGUCACAGGGGUGAAACUCUAUCUCAAAAAAAAAAAAAAAAAAAAAAA